GGCCAUAUCACGUUGAAAUACCGGUUGAAACACCGGUUCUCGUAUGAUCACGAGAGUUAAGCAACGUUGAAACUGUCCAGUACUUAGAUGGGCGAUCCCUAGGAAGUACCAGAUGUUUC